AAUUCUCAACCUGUCUCUCUUUUAUUAAAGAAAUACAGGCUUGGAUUUGGAGGUUGCUGGCUUCCCAGAAACCGGCUCCUCUUAAAUGUAUUAGCAGGAACCAUUGCUGAUUUUUCUUAGUAUGAUAACUAUCUAUACUACGGAGAAUCAGUUUCCUUAAUUGGAGGGCUUCGCUUCUAAUAGUCUUACCAGACAAUUCUUGACAA
rnacentral:misc_RNA from 1 species